UGGGGAAUAUUGCACAAUGGGCGGAAGCCUGAUGCAGCGACGCCGCGUGAGGGAUGACGGCCUUCGGGUUGUAAACCUCUUUCGACCCUGACGAAGCGUGAGUGACGGUAGGGGGAGAAGAAGCCCCGGCCAACUACGUGCCAGCAGCCGCGGUAAGACGUAGGGUGCGAGCGUUGUCCGGAUUUAUUGGGCGUAAAGAGCUCGUAGGCGGCUCGUCGCGUCUGCCGUGAAAACCCGCAGCUCAACUGCGGGCUUGCGGUUGAUACGGGCGGGCUGGAGUUCGGUAGGGGAGACUGGGAUUCCUGGCGUAGCGGUGAAAUGCGCAGAUAUCAGGAGGAACACCGGUGGCGAAGGCGGGUCUCUGGGCCGAUACUGACGCUGAGGAGCGAAAGCGUGGGGAGCGAAC
rnacentral:rRNA from 1 species